UGGGGAAUUGUUCGCAAUGGGCGCAAGCCUGACGACGCAACGCCGCGUGGAGGACGAAGACCUUCGGGUCGUAAACUCCUUUCGAUCGAGACGAAUGGCCUCCGGGUGAACAGUCCGGAGGAAUGACGGUACCGAGAGAAGAAGCCCCGGCUAACUCCGUGCCAGCAGCCGCGGUAAUACGGGGGGGGCAAGCGUUGUUCGGAAUUACUGGGCGUAAAGGGCUCGUAGGUGGCCAACUAAGUCAGACGUGAAAUCCCUCGGCUUAACCGGGGAACUGCGUCUGAUACUGGAUGGCUUGAGUUUGGGAGAGGGAUGCGGAAUUCCAGGUGUAGCGGUGAAAUGCGUAGAUAUCUGGAGGAACACCGGUGGCGAAGGCGGCGUCCUGGACCAACACUGACACUGAGGAGCGAAAGCCAGGGGAGCAAACGGG
rnacentral:rRNA from 1 species